GCAUAUCAAUAAGCGGAGGAAAAGAAACCAACAGGGAUUGCCCCAGUAACGGCGAGUGAAGCGGCAACAGCUCAAAUUUGAAAUCUGGCCCCCAGGGCCCGAGUUGUAAUUUGUAGAGGAUGCUUUUGGCGCGGUGCCUUCCGAGUUCCCUGGAACGGGACGCCAUAGAGGGUGAGAGCCCCGUCUGGUUGGACACCUAGCCUCUGUAAAGCUCCUUCGACGAGUCGAGUAGUUUGGGAAUGCUGCUCUAAAUGGGAGGUAUAUGUCUUCUAAAGCUAAAUACCGGCCAGAGACCGAUAGCGCACAAGUAGAGUGAUCGAAAGAUGAAAAGCACUUUGAAAAGAGGGUUAAAUAGUACGUGAAAUUGUUGAAAGGGAAGCGUUUGUGACCAGACUUGGGCCCGGUUGAUCAUCCACCGUUCUCGGUGGUGCACUCUGCCGGCCCAGGCCAGCAUCAGUUCGCGCCGGGGGAUAAAGGCUUCGGGAAUGUGGCUCCUCCGGGAGUGUUAUAGCCCGUUGUGUAAUACCCUGGUGCGGACUGAGGUUCGCGCUCCGCAAGGAUGCUGGCGUAAUGGUCAUCAGCGACCCGUCUUGAAACACGGACCAAGGAGUCGUCUUCGUAUGCGAGUGUUCGGGUGUCAAACCCCUACGCGUAAUGAAAGUGAACGCAGGUGAGAGCUUCGGCGCAUCAUCGACCGAUCCUGAUGUUCUCGGAUGGAUUUGAGUAAGAGCAUACGGGGCCGGACCCGAAAGAAGGUGAACUAUGCCUGUAUAGGGUGAAGCCAGAGGAAACUCUGGUGGAGGCUCGCAGCGGUUCUGACGUGCAAAUCGAUCGUCAAAUAUGGGCAUGGGGGCGAAAGACUAAUCGAACCUUCUAGUAGCUGGUUUCCGCCGAG
rnacentral:rRNA from 2 species